rfam:Ovis aries breed Texel chromosome 8, whole genome shotgun sequence.
UCCCUGGUGGCUCAGACGGUAAAGCAUCUGCCUGCAAUGCGGGAGACCUGGGUUCGAUUCCUGGGUCGGGAA